rnacentral:lncRNA from 1 species
UUUUGUAUAUUAUUUAAGGCUUAAUCUGUAUUUUAUAUCACAUAACACUGCUGUAGCUACAUACCUCUCUCUUUAGCUUUCUCCUCAGACUGAGGGAGAGAAGCUAACCCGCUAAUCAGCUCUUAAAGUGACUGAGCUGUUUUUAAUCUCAUGGUUUUACUUGUUUUAGCACAAAGAAAGAAUAUAUAAUAAUUUAAUAUGAAGCAGAUUUAUAAUAUAUUAUACAAAAAAAUACAUAAAAUAAAUAUUAAAACAAUGUCUUGGCUUGACUAUAUUAGCAAGAGCUUGCUAACGCUAAGCUAGCUAACAGAGUUGUACUAUUACUCUGCAUUUCUGAGGAAAAUAUAACUUUAUGAGAGUAAAAGGGUUCAAUAAUGUGUACAGUGACCUCUCAAUCACACAGUCUGGACAGAUCUUCAGUUUCAUACAAGACUACCUUCAGUACAAGUCUGGUAAAGGUGUGUGUUUUGGGUUACAUUUGAUGUAUGUUAGUGUGUACUGUAUGUAGUGAAUUGCUUCAUUUGACCAGCCUCUAAUCUCUUUGAAUAGGAAGAAACCAAAAUACUGGAAACUGAAGGUCAAAUUCCUGUUUCCAAAUCAAGUUUUAAUUCACUGAACAAAUCUGGUUAAAACCGUAUGAACAGUUUGUAGCAUUUGGAUUUCAAUGAUGCACAAAAAGUACUGCACUUGUGCAGAUUUCCUUAUCAAGGAGGGUGUUCCCCUUUAGCAUGUUGAACCUCCUCCACUCGCGGCAGAAGCAGCAAGAUGAUUGGUUCAAAUUGUUGAAAGGUGGAGCUUUAUUAGUAAACAGAUGCCAUGAUGAACCUGUCGAGAAUUUUUAACCAAUGACUUGUUUCCUCACUUAAUAAUGCUGUCUCUACAUGAGUUCUAGAGUUUUCUAAAAAAAUUCCCUGUUUUUUUCUCUCUAUAGAAUCACUUGGUCUGAGUUGCUAUAGUGGCGGGAGCUUCUUUGUCUUCCUCAAGAGCUUCUUCCUCAGUUUUGGGUUUCCUGACCUGAGUGGAGUUCUGUCCAUCAUCCCG